rnacentral:lncRNA from 1 species
GGUGAUUCUAUUUCAUUAAUACAUGUAUUUCCACAUUGUUUCUCAUUGUCUCUCUUCAAAGGAGACUAAGCAGGGUGGCAGUGCCCACAUGUGGCCCAGAGCCACACAAUGGAGGAACAUGUAAAUAUCCUCAAGUCCAUUUGUGACUGUUAGGGACAUUCAUGAUACAUGGAGGGGAGAGGCCUUUGCUCUGAGGAUCUACAAAAGGAAUUGAAAUAUUUCAGGAUAUUGGUAUUUACCAUUUGCCUUUACUGAUUACCUUUAUACGUAACCAAGCCAAGGAAUAUCAGAGAGGGCUAUACUAAACUGUUUAGUAGUCUGUCUCCUCCAACUAGACUGUAAGGUUUAAGAGGACAAGAGCUAUAUCUUGGUCACUGUUGUAUAUGUAACACCUAGCACAGUGUCUGAAAUAUGGCAGGUGCUUAGAUAGGCGAUAUAGCAUACUGGCCAAGCAGAGCAGUUUUGGAGUCAGGCUGACCUGGCCUAAAUCCUGACUCUAUCACUUACAUGCUCUGUGAUCUAGGACAAGUUACUUGACCUCUCCAAUGCUCUUUUUACCACCCAUCUCCAUGUAAAAUAAGGAUAAUAAUAGCACUUAUCUCAUGGAGAUUGCUGUGACCAAUUAGUGA